CUCCAAAAGCCCAUUCUUCUUGAUUCUCCCUUUCCAGGUACAUGUGUUGUCAGCACAGACAGCAAACACUAUUUGAACCUCACCACUGGCAUCUACCUGUUCAACCCCCUCUACCUGCAGCCGCAGAGCUUCCGCACAGGAAAUAAGAGAGACAAAGUUCCUACUGAAGAAUUAGACGGCGGACAAGAUGGCGGAAGAGUAGGGGGACAUGCUCACUCUCUCCCACAAAUACAACAAAAAAAGCACAUCUACAGAACAAAUAACUCACACAGAACAGCAACAAAUCGCUGGCAGAAGAACCUAAACUCCAAUAACGGCAAGAAGUUCGUGACAUUACUGGGCAGAAUGGGAGAAAAGAGGAGAGUGAGAGAAGGUGAAUCCGAGCGGGACGGGUGCUCCCGAAAAGGGAACUGAGGAGGAGAAAGGGAUCCCGCACCCUGGAAAGUCACCUACUGGGGGAAAGAUCAAACGAACCGGAGGAAUCUCCAGAUGCAGAGAAGAGUGUAGCAGUAAGUUGGAGUACUGAAAAGCCGAUCAAGAACUGAACAGACCAUCUGAACUACGGGCACAGUCACCAAAAAUUAAGACGCCUGGGUGGGGGCUGGGCACCAAGUCCUCGGCUCUGGAGGUUAGUUCCCGGCAAGGGUUAGGGGGGCAGGGCAGAGCGGAGACUGCUAGGGAGGUCUAGAAAAUGGUCUGUCAAAUUUGACUGGGCAGAGACUGCCUGGGAGACUAGAAAACAAAGCAGUCACAGAGGAAGGGAACAAUACUCUAGGGGCGGGGAAGUGGAAAGCCGCAUCAGAGGGAACCUGGGAGAAGAGCCUGGUCUGCCCCCGUGCUGGGGAGGGGAGAGAAGAAGGGGUGGGUCCCCACAGAAUACCUCGCACGCCACAGCAAGCUUACAGGCCCGCUAGCUAGCAGAAAGCUGUGCUUCCCAGUGCAUCCCCUCCCCCCACCCCCACCACCCGCUAUGUUCUCGCAGGACCUGGGGCUGCCUGCCAUCAGGAGGGCUGGCCCCAAUAAUUGCCUGAAGCCUACCACCACAGGGGCUGUCCCUGCAUAGGCCUGCUUGCCCUUUGGAGGAGCUACACCUCCGCACAGCAGCACCAAACACCACCAGCCCCCAAGGAAAGUCCUGCAGCCGAGAAAAGCUAGAACAAGCCUAGCCAGUCCAUGAAAAAUCAGCCUAAUUCUCGGACGGUCUUUCUGAGUUGGGCUGCCCUGGGGAGGAGCCUCUUGGGUAUUCAGCGGCCCUGCUAGCUGCCCAAGCCCCCAGGGGGUGCCCUAGUGGAUCAGCUGCAUAGGACUGCCAGCUCCAGGCAGGACCCCAUGCAGCCCAGAAAAGCUGCAACAAGCCUGGCCGGGCUGUGAAAAGAUCUCAGACAGUCUUUCUGAAUUGGGCUGCCCUGGGGAG
rnacentral:lncRNA from 1 species